GACGGGUGAGUAAUACUUAGGAAUCUGCCUAUUAGUGGGGGACAACAUCUCGAAAGGGAUGCUAAUACCGCAUACGUCCUACGGGAGAAAGCAGGGGAUCUUUAUGACCUUGCGCUAAUAGAUGAGCCUAAGUCGGAUUAGCUAGUUGGUGGGGUAAAGGCCUACCAAGGCGACGAUCUGUAGCGGGUCUGAGAGGAUGAUCCGCCACACUGGGACUGAGACACGGCCCAGACUCCUACGGGAGGCAGCAGUGGGGAAUAUUGGACAAUGGGGGGAACCCUGAUCCAGCCAUGCCGCGUGUGUGAAGAAGGCCUUAUGGUUGUAAAGCACUUUAAGCGAGGAGGAGGCUUUUUUGGUUAAUACCCAGGAUAAGUGGACGUUACUCGCAGAAUAAGCACCGGCUAACUCUGUGCCAGCAGCCGCGGUAAUACAGAGGGGUGGCAAGCGUUAAUCGGAUUUACUGGGCGUAAAGCGCGCGUAGGCGGCCAAUUAAGUCAAAUGUGAAAUCCCCGAGCUUAACUUGGGAAUUGCAUUCGAUACUGUUUGGCUAGAGUGUGGGAGAGGAUGGUAGAAUUCCAGGUGUAGCGGUGAAAUGCGUAGAGAUCUGGAGGAAUACCGAUGGCGAAGGCAGCCAUCUGGCCUAACACUGACGCUGAGGUGCGAAAGCAUGGGGAGCAAACAGGAUUAGAUACCCUGGUAGUCCAUGCCGUAAACGAUGUCUACUAGCCGUUGGGGCCUUUGAGGCUUUAGUGGCGCAGCUAACGCGAUAAGUAGACCGCCUGGGGAGUACGGUCGCAAGACUAAAACUCAAAUGAAUUGACGGGGGCCCGCACAAGCGGUGGAGCAUGUGGUUUAAUUCGAUGCAACGCGAAGAACCUUACCUGGCCUUGACAUAGUAGAAACUUUCCAGAGAUGGAUUGGUGCCUUCGGGAAUCUACAUACAGGUGCUGCAUGGCUGUCGUCAGCUCGUGUCGUGAGAUGUUGGGUUAAGUCCCGCAACGAGCGCAACCCUUUUCCUUACUUGCCAGCAUUUCGGAUGGGAACUUUAAGGAUACUGCCAGUGACAAACUGGAGGAAGGCGGGGACGACGUCAAGUCAUCAUGGCCCUUACGGCCAGGGCUACACACGUGCUACAAUGGUCGGUACAAAGGGUUGCUACCUAGCGAUAGGAUGCUAAUCUCAAAAAGCCGAUCGUAGUCCGGAUUGGAGUCUGCAACUCGACUCCAUGAAGUCGGAAUCGCUAGUAAUCGCGGAUCAGAAUGCCGCGGUGAAUACGUUCCCGGGCCUUGUACACACCGCCCGUCAC
rnacentral:rRNA from 1 species